AGACCCGAAACCCGGUGAUCUAGCCAUGGGCAGGUUGAAGGUUGGGUAACACUAACUGGAGGACCGAACCGACUAAUGUUGAAAAAUUAGCGGAUGACUUGUGGCUGGGGGUGAAAGGCCAAUCAAACCGGGAGAUAGCUGGUUCUCCCCGAAAGCUAUUUAGGUAGCGCCUCGUGAAUUCAUCUCCGGGGGUAGAGCACUGUUUCGGCAAGGGGGUCAUCCCGACUUACCAACCCGAUGCAAACUGCGAAUACCGGAGAAUGUUAUCACGGGAGACACACGGCGGGUGCUAACGUCCGUCGUGAAGAGGGAAACAACCCAGACCGCCAGCUAAGGUCCCAAAGUCAUGGUUAAGUGGGAAACGAUGUGGGAAGGCCCAGACAGCCAGGAUGUUGGCUUAGAAGCAGCCAUCAUUUAAAGAAAGCGUAAUAGCUCACUGGUCGAGUCGGCCUGCGCGGAAGAUGUAACGGGGCUAAACCAUGCACCGAAGCUGCGGCAGCGACACUGUGUGUUGUUGGGUAGGGGAGCGUUCUGUAAGCCUGUGAAGGUGUGCUGUGAGGCAUGCUGGAGGUAUCAGAAGUGCGAAUGCUGACAUAAGUAACGAUAAAGCGGGUGAAAAGCCCGCUCGCCGGAAGACCAAGGGUUCCUGUCCAACGUUAAUCGGGGCAGGGUGAGUCGACCCCUAAGGCGAGGCCGAAAGGCGUAGUCGAUGGGAAACAGGUUAAUAUUCCUGUACUUGGUGUUACUGCGAAGGGGGGACGGAGAAGGCUAUGUUGGCCGGGCAACGGUUGUCCCGGUUUAAGCGUGUAGGCUGGUUUUCCAGGCAAAUCCGGAAAAUCAAGGCUGAGGCGUGAUGACGAGGCACUACGGUGCUGAAGCAACAAAUGCCCUGCUUCCAGGAAAAGCCUCUAAGCAUCAGGUAACAUCAAAUCGUACCCCAAACCGACACAGGUGGUCAGGUAGAGAAUACCAAGGCGCUUGAGAGAACUCGGGUGAAGGAACUAGGCAAAAUGGUGCCGUAACUUCGGGAGAAGGCACGCUGAUAUGUAGGUGAAGUCCCUCGCGGAUGGAGCUGAAAUCAGUCGAAGAUACCAGCUGGCUGCAACUGUUUAUUAAAAACACAGCACUGUGCAAACACGAAAGUGGACGUAUACGGUGUGACGCCUGCCCGGUGCCGGAAGGUUAAUUGAUGGGGUCAGCGCAAGCGAAGCUCUUGAUCGAAGCCCCGGUAAACGGCGGCCGUAACUAUAACGGUCCUAAGGUAGCGAAAUUCCUUGUCGGGUAAGUUCCGACCUGCACGAAUGGCGUAAUGAUGGCCAGGCUGUCUCCACCCGAGACUCAGUGAAAUUGAACUCGCUGUGAAGAUGCAGUGUACCCGCGGCAAGACGGAAAGACCCCGUGAACCUUUACUAUAGCUUGACACUGAACAUUGAGCCUUGAUGUGUAGGAUAGGUGGGAGGCUUUGAAGUGUGGACGCCAGUCUGCAUGGAGCCGACCUUGAAAUACCACCCUUUAAUGUUUGAUGUUCUAACGUGGACCCGUGAUCCGGGUUGCGGACAGUGUCUGGUGGGUAGUUUGACUGGGGCGGUCUCCUCCUAAAGAGUAACGGAGGAGCACGAAGGUUGGCUAAUCCUGGUCGGACAUCAGGAGGUUAGUGCAAUGGCAUAAGCCAGCUUGACUGCGAGCGUGACGGCGCGAGCAGGUGCGAAAGCAGGUCAUAGUGAUCCGGUGGUUCUGAAUGGAAGGGCCAUCGCUCAACGGAUAAAAGGUACUCCGGGGAUAACAGGCUGAUACCGCCCAAGAGUUCAUAUCGACGGCGGUGUUUGGCACCUCGAUGUCGGCUCAUCACAUCCUGGGGCUGAAGUAGGUCCCAAGGGUAUGGCUGUUCGCCAUUUAAAGUGGUACGCGAGCUGGGUUUAGAACGUCGUGAGACAGUUCGGUCCCUAUCUGCCGUGGGCGCUGGAGAACUGAGGGGGGCUGCUCCUAGUACGAGAGGACCGGAGUGGACGCAUCACUGGUGUUCGGGUUGUCAUGCCAAUGGCACUGCCCGGUAGCUAAAUGCGGAAGAGAUAAGUGCUGAAAGCAUCUAAGCACGAAACUUGCCCCGAGAUGAGUUCUCCCUGACCCUUUAAGGGUCCUGAAGGAACGUUGAAGACGACGACGUUGAUAGGCCGGGUGUGUAAGCGCAGCGAUGCGUUGAGCUAACCGGUACUAAUGAACCGUGAGGCUUAACCUUACAACGCCGAAGGUGUUU
rnacentral:rRNA from 2 species